UCUCUUGUUUUUAUUCUAAUAUAUGUACACUACUUUGAAGGUAAUGCUUCUCUUGUGACAGUAUGCAUGCAUUAGUAACAAAAAUAAUGAGGAUUGUGAAACGUCUUCUGCAUAUACCCACAAGAAUGUACCUUUCUGUGAUUAUGGGUAAUCAUACCGCCGCAGCUCAGGAGGUAUCUGCAUAAUCGUUGUAAAAAAUAACUACAAUAAAGAACAUUUUCCUGGUGCUUCAUUAGCACUAACUACCAGCAAUUUGAAGCCUGAGAAGCACUCUGCGUUAACUCCACUCGGAUGACAGUGAUUGUGCCAAACAACGGGGACAAGAAAAAGGCUGACCGGCCGAUUGCUCCGUACUGACCACUAACUGAAGGUCGACACUGUUGAGGACAUUUCAGUCUUUAGAUCGUUGCUCAGCAGCACAUCGGCAGUGAAGCGGAGAGCUGCAGAUGAAACACCUGCCACCCCCCCACCUCCCCUUUCACCAGCACUCGGAUCAAACCAUCAAUAUAAUUUGCGGUGCUGAGAGACAAAUUGCUGGUCUACCGGUGAAAGAGCUGAAGGAGUGAACCUUGCCCACGCUCUCGGCCUGAAAAAGCUGCAAACGCAGGAACUCAACACCGCCGCCGAUUCAACCCCCGAAAAUGGCUGCAGAGAGGUUGUCUCUGUUGUUUACUGGCGCUAAAUCAACUUCAGGAAAACUGUUUCCUCCUGUCAAUCCCUGUCACAUAAAAGGAGGUUAUAAUGCACGACAGUUUGAUUAAAAACAGCUCUCAAUUA